UUCUCCAACUGAAGACUACAUGAAAAUUUAGGCUUUGAAACAACAAGCCCAUGAAUCUCUCUAAUAAUCAUGCAGUCUUCCAACACAGAGUUAGCCCCGGAUUUAUUUAUUCAAGGUUACAGUUUCUCAUAGGCCAGCUGAAAGGAGAACAAGCAUGAAUGAGUAUUAAAGUAACUGACUUCAUGCAGAACUGAGGGUGAUUCAACCAAGCAAUGCAAAAGGCCACAAAUGUUAAGUAAGAGAAAUAGGACAUCUGUGCUUAAAGUAUUUCUGUUAAUAAGUAAAAAUCAAGUUAAAACAAACCUGGCAUCCUGUCUCAAAUCAUGGUCAAUCUUUAAAAAGGUUCUGUGAUCAUUAGAAAUUACUGGUGUCUGCUACGCUUCCUCAUGGAAGUGUUUUUAAAAGUAUUAGCUGAAGGGGAGUAAACAUACAAUCAAGAAUUCAUGGAGAAAAUUGCAUUUUUGUAA
rnacentral:lncRNA from 1 species